GAAAGAGAGGCAAAGACGAUAAGAAUUGUUAAACAUCAUCAAAUUAGGGAGAGGAUGUAGACAGGGGGCGAAGAGCAAAUGAAAGAGGACCAGUAAAAAGAGGUGAGGGUGCAGGAGUGUUUCGGAUGUUAGCCCUGGAAGUGUAGAUGAAGAAUGUAGCUAUAUAAAAUGUAAAUAAUGCAUAAAAAAUCUAUAUAUAUUAUAAAGAUUCUACUACACAUAU